rnacentral:rRNA from 1 species
CAUGCAAGUCGAACGGCAGCACGGAGCUUGCUCUGGUGGCGAGUGGCGAACGGGUGAGUAAUAUAUCGGAACGUACCCAGGAGUGGGGGAUAACGUAGCGAAAGUUACGCUAAUACCGCAUACGUCCUAAGGGAGAAAGUGGGGGAUCGCAAGACCUCAUGCUCAUGGAGCGGCCGAUAUCUGAUUAGCUAGUUGGUGGGGUAAAGGCCUACCAAGGCAUCGAUCAGUAGCUGGUCUGAGAGGACGACCAGCCAC